rnacentral:rRNA from 1 species
GUUGUUCGGAAUUACUGGGCGUAAAGGGCGCGUAGGCGGUCUUGUAAGUUCUGUGUGAAAUCCCUCGGCUCAACUGAGGAACUGCACGGAAAACUGCGAGGCUUGAGUUCGGGAGAGGGAAGCGGAAUUCCUGGUGUAGCGGUGAAAUGCGUAGAUAUCAGGAGGAACACCUGUGGUGUAGACAGCUUACUGGACCACUUCUGACGCUGAGACACGAAAGCGUGGGUAGCAAACAGG